rnacentral:rRNA from 1 species
CCUACGGGAGGCUGCAGUGGGGAAUAUUGGUCAAUGGACGAAAGUCUGAACCAGCGAAGUAGCGUGAGGGAUGAAGGCCCUAUGGGUUGUAAACUUCUUUUAUAGGGGAGUAAAACAGGGGAUGCAUACCCUCUUGAAUGUACCAUAUGAAUAAGGAUCGGCUAACUCCGUGCCAGCAGCCGCGGUAAUACGGAGGAUACGAGCGUUAUCCGGAUUGAUUGGGUUUAAAGGGAGCGUAGGUGGAUUGUUAAGUCAGUUGUGAAAGUUUGCGGCUCAACCGUAAAAUUGCAGUUGAAACUGGCAGUCUUGAGUACAGUAGAGGUGGGCGGAAUUCGUGGUGUAGCGGUGAAAUGCUUAGAUAUCACGAAGAACUCCGAUUGCGAAGGCAGUUCACUGGACUGCAACUGACACUGAGGCUCGAAAGUGUGGGUAUCAAACAGGAUUAGAUACCCGAGUAGUC